CCUACGGGUGGCAGCAGUAGGGAAUCUUCCACAAUGGGCGAAAGCCUGAUGGAGCAACGCCGCGUGGGUGAAGAAGGUCUUCGGAUCGUAAAACCCUGUUGUUAGAGAAGAAAGUGCGUGAGAGUAACUGUUAACGUUUCGACGGUAUCUAACCAGAAAGCCACGGCUAACUACGUGCCAGCAGCCGCGGUAAUACGUAGGUGGCAAGCGUGAUCCGGAUUGAUUGGGCGUAAAGGGCACGCAGGCGGUCUUUUAAGUCUGAUGUGAAAGCCUUGGGCUUAACGGGAGUAGUGCAUUGGAUACUGGGAGACUAGAGUGUAGAAGAGGAGAGUGGAACUCAAGGUGUAGCGGUGAAAUGCGUAGAUAUACGGAAGAACACCGGUGGCGAAAGCGGCUCUCUGGUCUGUAACUGACGCUGAGGUUCGAAAGCGUGGGUAGCAAACAGGAUUAGAUACCCUUGUAGUC
rnacentral:rRNA from 1 species